rnacentral:rRNA from 1 species
AGUGAACGCUAGCGGUAGGCCUAACACAUGCAAGUCGAACGGCAGCACAGGAGAGCUUGCUCUCUGGGUGGCGAGUGGCGGACGGGUGAGGAAUACAUCGGAAUCUACUUUUUCGUGGGGGAUAACGUAGGGAAACUUACGCUAAUACCGCAUACGACCUACGGGUGAAAGCAGGGGACCUUCGGGCCUUGCGCGAAUGAAUGAGCCGAUGUCGGAUUAGCUAGUUGGCGGGGUAAAGGCCCACCAAGGCGACGAUCCGUAGCUGGCCUGAGAGGAUGCUCAGCCACACUGGAACUGAGACACGGUCCAGACUCCUACGGGAGGCAGCAGUGGGGAAUAUUGGACAAUGGGCGCAAGCCUGAUCCAGCCAUACCGCGUGGGUGAAGAAGGCCUUCGGGUUGUAAAGCCCCUUUGUUGGGAAAGAAAUCCAGCUGGCUAAUACCCGGUUGGGAUGACGGUACCCAAAGAAUAAGCACCGGCUAACUUCGUGCCAGCAGCCGCCGUAA